rnacentral:lncRNA from 1 species
CUCAGCACCAGUUUUACAUUCCUUUCAUUCAACGACAACUUUUUAUACAACCUUUCUUCAAGCAUUGCCAAAGUUAUAUCAUCCACUGUUGUCUUCAUGGUUACACUAUAGACUCGAUCUUUGAAUUUGAAAUGUAUGCUCACGUGUUUCGACAUUGUAUCCUGCAAAAACAACAAAUUCAAGUCACGGUUAUACUAGUGUUAUCUAAUUAUCUACAGUUAUACGUAUUAUACUUCAAUUAUCAGUUCUACUAGUUUUACCAAGUUAUGCUUCAACUACAUAUCAAAUUGAGGUUUCAGGUACUAUAAGCUCAAGAACCUCAACUCAACUCAACUCAACUCAACUCAACUCAACUCAAUUCCAUAGAGGCAACUCAAAUCAAUCAACCAACCAUAUGCUUUAAUUAAUUCACAUUUCCAAUUACACACCCUAAAAACAAUUUUUAUCCAAUGCAGCUUGGGGAGGAGAACAACUAACCUGCAUUCGCCGGAGAAUCCAACGAUCGAGCUUUCUGGGGAGCUGAGAGAUUUCUCGGGAGCUGCGAAUUGAAUUC